GCUGGGCCCGGUGGUGCAUGCCUGUAAUCCCAGCGGCUAGGGAGGCUGAGACAGGAGGAUCAUGAGUUCGAAGCCAGGCUCAGCAACAGUGAGGUGCUAAAGCAACUCAGUGAGACUCUGUCUCUA
rnacentral:sRNA from 1 species